rnacentral:rRNA from 1 species
GGAGCGAAGUCUUUGAUUCCCCGCUGCCAAGAAAAGCUUCUAGCGAGAUAAAAGGUGCCUGUACCGCAAACCGACACAGGUAGGCGAGGAGAGAAUCCUAAGGUGUGCGAGAGAACUCUGGUUAAGGAACUCGGCAAAAUGACCCCGUAACUUCGGGAGAAGGGGUGCUUUCUUAACGGAAAGCCGCAGUGAAUAGGCCCAAGCGACUGUUUAGCAAAAACACAGCUCUCUGCGAAGCCGUAAGGCGAAGUAUAGGGGGUGACACCUGCCCGGUGCUGGAAGGUUAAGGAGAGGGGUUAGCAUAAGCGAAGCUCUGAACUGAAGCCCCAGUAAACGGCGGCCGUAACUAUAACGGUCCUAAGGUAGCGAAAUUCCUUGUCGGGUAAGUUCCGACCCGCACGAAAGGUGUAACGAUUUGGGCACUGUCUCAACCAGAGACUCGGUGAAAUUAUAGUACCUGUGAAGAUGCAGGUUACCCGCGACAGGACGGAAAGACCCCGUGGAGCUUUACUGUAGCCUGAUAUUGAAUUUUGGUACAGUUUGUACAGGAUAGGCGGGAGCCAUUGAAACCGGAGCGCUAGCUUCGGUGGAGGCGCUGGUGGGAUACCGCCCUGACUGUAUUGAAAUUCUAACCUACGGGUCUUAUCGACCCGGGAGACAGUGUCAGGUGGGCAGUUUGACUGGGGCGGUCGCCUCCUAAAGUGUAACGGAGGCGCCCAAAGGUUCCCUCAGAAUGGUUGGAAAUCAUUCGUAGAGUGCAAAGGCAUAAGGGAGCUUGACUGCGAGACCUACAAGUCGAGCAGGGACGAAAGUCGGGCUUAGUGAUCCGGUGGUUCCGCAUGGAAGGGCCAUCGCUCAACGGAUAAAAGCUACCCCGGGGAUAACAGGCUUAUCUCCCCCAAGAGUCCACAUCGACGGGGAGGUUUGGCACCUCGAUGUCGGCUCAUCGCAUCCUGGGGCUGUAGUCGGUCCCAAGGGUUGGGCUGUUCGCCCAUUAAAGCGGUACGCGAGCUGGGUUCAGAACGUCGUGAGACAGUUCGGUCCCUAUCCGUCGUGGGCGUAGGAAAUUUGAGAGGAGCUGUCCUUAGUACGAGAGGACCGGGAUGGACGCACCGCUGGUGUACCAGUUGUUCUGCCAAGGGCAUAGCUGGGUAGCUAUGUGCGGAAGGGAUAAGUGCUGAAAGCAUCUAAGCAUGAAGCCCCCCUCAAGAUGAGAUUUCCCAUAGCGUAAGCUAGUAAGAUCCCUGAAAGAUGAUCAGGUUGAUAGGUUCGAGGUGGAAGCAUGGUGACAUGUGGAGCUGACGAAUACUAAUAGAUCGAGGACUUAACCAUAUA